rnacentral:rRNA from 1 species
AUUGAACGCUAGCGGGAUGCUUUACACAUGCAAGUCGAACGGCAGCACGAGAGAGCUUGCUCUCUUGGUGGCGAGUGGCGGACGGGUGAGUAAUAUAUCGGAACGUGCCCAGUAGCGGGGGAUAACUACUCGAAAGAGUGGCUAAUACCGCAUACGCCCUACGGGGGAAAGGGGGGGAUUCUUCGGAACCUCUCACUAUUGGAGCGGCCGAUAUCGGAUUAGCUAGUUGGUGGGGUAAAGGCUCACCAAGGCAACGAUCCGUAGCUGGUUUGAGAGGACGACCAGCCACACUGGGACUGAGACACGGCCCAGACUCCUACGGGAGGCAGCAGUGGGGAAUUUUGGACAAUGGGGGAAACCCUGAUCCAGCCAUCCCGCGUGUAUGAUGAAGGCCUUCGGGUUGUAAAGUACUUUUGGCAGAGAAGAAAAGGUACCUCCUAAUACGAGGUACUGCUGACGGUAUCUGCAGAAUAAGCACUGGCUAACUACGUGCCAGCAGCCGCAGUAAAAC